rnacentral:rRNA from 1 species
UACGAAGGGUGCAAACGUUGCUCGGAAUUAUUGGGCGUAAAGCGCACGUAGGCGGCUUAGUAAGUUGGAUGUGAAAUCCCUCGGCUUAACCAAGGAAGUGCAUCCAAAACUACUGAGCUUGAGUACUAAAGAGGAUCGCGGAAUUCCCGGUGUAGAGGUGAAAUUCGUAGAUAUCGGGAGGAACACCAGUGGCGAAGGCGGCGAUCUGGGUAGAUACUGACGCUGAGGUGCGAAAGCGUGGGGAGCAAGCAGGAGUAGAACC